rnacentral:misc_RNA from 1 species
CACGAACCGGACAAACGUUAUUCGGAAUCACUGGGCUUAAAGAGUGCGUAGGCGGCUUAUCAAGUCAGGUGUGAAAUGCCACAGCUCAACUGUGGCACUGCGCUUGAAACUGAUAGGCUAGAGUAUUCCAGGGGUGUGCGGAACUGCCAGUGGAGCGGUGAAAUGCGUUGAUAUUGGCAGGAACACCGGAGGCGAAGGCGGCACACUGGGGGAUAACUGACGCUGAGGUACGAAAGCCAGGGUAGCGAACGGG